UCCAUCACCUGCUUUAAAACAAACAAACAAACAAACAAACAAAAACCCUACAAACUACGCAAAAUUAAGAAUGGGGAGUAGUGGGGCCACAGCAGAACUGAGGUUUGGUUUGGGGGGCCAAGAUCCUACCUCACUUAGGGUAACGAGUGGCUGGCCCCACAUGCCCUUCUUCCCACGGCUUGAGUGUCCGAUGGGUGGUCACUACGCCUGUCUCUGGUAGUUGUUCAAAACAAAUGACGUGCCAAGAAGUUGUCGGGUUAUACUCUGCCAAAAAUCAUAUUACACAUAGAUGGUUGUUAGGAAUUUGGGGACAAGUUAAAUCUUCUGGACUACUACCAAGCAGUGUUUUGAUAUUUAUAGUGUGUAUUUGGGAAUAGACAGUGGGGAAAGAGAUGUAGCAUUGCUAACCUCACUGUUUUUAUUUUUCUCUCGAUCCCUCCCCUCGCUCCCCUGCUCAGAGGAGAUUCAAGGAGACUGGAAAGCGUGAAACAGCAGGCGCGUUCUGGCAUGCUUUCAUGAUAAAAACUCGGAAGAAUCUGCUGCUUCCCCUCUGCUCCACAGCCAAGAUCUGGUUUCAGACCUGCCACUGUUCCUCAGCAACACCUCCCUGCUCAGUGCUUGUCCCCCAGGUGACCUCCAUCUCAUUGAUUUCAACCACGUUGAAGCUUAGCGCCCUCUGGAAAGAGCUAAAGAUCUUCACUGACGAUCUCCAAUGAAAUGAGGUCAAGAAGUCACAAGACCCAGGGUCAGCAUCUUCAGUGUUAGGAUCACCAAGAGAUCCUUUAACAACAGCUCUUUGAGAUUCCUGUGCUCUGGAAGGACACACCGCACACUACUUCAGCAACUAGCCUAGCCUCAGAUUAUUUUCUAUCAAGACAAUUUUUUGUGGGGACUUUGAUGCACAAAUAUGUAUAGAAAUGUCAGAAGAAAUAGCUGGCCAAGCAGAAAAUGCCUAUGUCUGGAGAGCAGAAGUUGAGGGUAGAUCUCCAAUCUUAAGGAGAACCUAAUUUCACUAUUGGGAUCAAUUAACAUCUCCAUCACAGAAGACUGUGUUAGCAGAGACAUUUGGAGUUGAGUUUGGAGUCUGGAGCAUCAAGUGCUCAGCGUCGUCUACAGAUAAGGAGGACAGUUGCUCAAUCCAUCAUGAUUAAUAUGGAACAGUUUCUUGGGGCACAGCUGGCAGCAGUCAGACCGUGCAGAGCCCUGAAGGUCAGCCUCAGGACUUCCACCCAGGAGGAAGGCAAGCAGGAAAGUGAUGUGAAAAGGUUUCUGUUUUAAAAGCUCCCCACUGCCUCUAGUGUGGUCUAGGAACAGAGGAGACCCUCUCGAGGACUGUUUUGAAAAGGAGGCCAUUGGAGUGAUUUAGGUGAAAGAAGAUGGUGGUAGUAAAACAGAGGGGGAUUUCAGAGAGAUUUAGAAGGCCAAAAAUCUUCAGCAACUGUCAAGGGCUGGGUCCAGAUCUUGAAAGCAGCUCUCUACCACCCAGCCAUUUCAGUUCUCAGGCUGACAGCCGCCCUGCUGUCUCUGAGAUAUACCACCACACUGCAUGCUAAGAGGGGCAGCAACUAGGGUUCCUGGCUGGCCAGCGGCUUCCAGUGACAACUCUACACUGUGGCAGAAGGAGAAUGGGUUUGGGUCACCUGCUGGUCAUCUCCGCCAUACUCCCUAGUGGCCAUUCUCAACACAACCAGACUUUCAAACACAAAUCGGGUACUAUUGUCUUAAAGGGAUCCCUGCAAGAGCAUCAGAAUUUUAUAUUCUGUGCUGUAGAACUGGAUUUUAUACGCAGGUCUCCCUCCUCCAAGUUGUCUGCAGGAUCCUUCUCUGGUGGAUCUCAGACACUCGGGGAAUUUAGAUAUGAUGACUGGAAAGGUAACACCUAUCUUGUGGCCAUAAGGAUAAAAGUCAAAAGCUAAGGAUGACAGAACAGAAAAGUAGGGGCCUGAGUGUUUGAGGACCCGCAUCAGCCCUGGAUUGCCUAGUGUCAGAUUUCUGCUUGUGUAAGAAAUGUGAGCCCCUUUCUUGAUUCAGGCACUAUUUGUCAAGUCUCUGUUCAGAUCUAUGUCUUGACCAAUACCUUGACUUUUUGAGGUAUUGUCUCCUUUGUACUGCAGAGAUGAUCAUUUUUCACAGUUCAGCUUGUCUAGGGCCCCACUAACCUAUUGCAUAUGCGAUUCCUUGUGUAUCAGUUAUAUGUUAAGAGACUCAAGGUUUGCAUCAGUACAGGAAUACAGAGAAGAUGAUAAAUGUUCCCAUAGGCACCUUUCUUUGGUAGUCUCUGAACUUUUCUUCACCUUGUACUCACUUCUGAUAAUAAUACUACCUCUCAGUUAUAAAUAAGCAAGGCUUAAAUGCCCAUAAAAACAAGUCACUGGCCAAGUUCCUUAUUCUAUUACUUAUCCAUUGUUCGCAAUGUGAAAUACACAGCUUGCUUAGCCAGGCGUUAGGUGACAUGUGAUGCUACCAAUGAGGGGUCUGUUACGGGCAUGUCAGCCGUGGGAGCAGGUGCACCAUGGUGUGAGAGACGCCUGCUACAGGGAGGAGGAAGGUAAGCAGGGCAGUGCUAAUUUGGGAAGACAGAAGGCAGGGGAGCAGAAAGAAGGUUACAGUAGGUAAAUAGAGAGGGCUCCAAAUAGGAAAACUCAGAGGAAAUGUCAAGUCUGAAUUAAAAGUAAAUAGAGAAAUUC